rnacentral:rRNA from 1 species
AGAGUUUGAUCAUGGCUCAGAUUGAACGCUGGCGGCAGGCCUAACACAUGCAAGUCGAGCGGUAGAGAGAAGCUUGCUUCUCUUGAGAGCGGCGGACGGGUGAGUAAUGCCUAGGAAUCUGCCUGGUAGUGGGGGAUAACGCUCGGAAACGGACGCUAAUACCGCAUACGUCCUACGGGAGAAAGCAGGGGACCUUCGGGCCUUGCGCUAUCAGAUGAGCCUAGGUCGGAUUAGCUAGUUGGUGAGGUAAUGGCUCACCAAGGCGACGAUCCGUAACUGGUCUGAGAGGAUGAUCAGUCACACUGGAACUGAGACACGGUCCAGACUCCUACGGGAGGCAGCAGUGGGGAAUAUUGGACAAUGGGCGAAAGCCUGAUCCAGCCAUGCCGCGUGUGUGAAGAAGGUCUUCGGAUUGUAAAGCACUUUAAGUUGGGAGGAAGGGCAUUAACCUAAUACGUUAGUGUUUUGACGUUACCGACAGAAUAAGCACCGGCUAACUCUGUGCCAGCAGCCGCGGUAAUACAGAGGGUGCAAGCGUUAAUCGGAAUUACUGGGCGUAAAGCGCGCGUAGGUGGUUCGUUAAGUUGGAUGUGAAAUCCCCGGGCUCAACCUGGGAACUGCAUUCAAAACUGACGAGCUAGAGUAUGGUAGAGGGUGGUGGAAUUUCCUGUGUAGCGGUGAAAUGCGUAGAUAUAGGAAGGAACACCAGUGGCGAAGGCGACCACCUGGACUGAUACUGACACUGAGGUGCGAAAGCGUGGGGAGCAAACAGGAUUAGAUACCCUGGUAGUCCACGCCCUAAACGAUGGAUACUAGGCGUAAGAGGUAUCGACCCCUCUUGUGCCGCAGCUAACGCAUUAAGUAUCCCGCCUGGGGAGUACGGCCGCAAGGUUGAAACUCAAAUGAAUUGACGGGGACCCGCACAAGCGGUGGAGCAUGUGGUUUAAUUCGAUACUAACCGAAGAACCUUACCCAGACUUGACAUCGAUCGUAAGCCCUCGAAAGGGGGCCCUCCCCCACAAGGGGACGUGAAGACACUUGUUGCAUGGCUGUCGUCAGCUCGUGCCGUGAGGUGUACGGUUAAGUCCGCCAACGAGCGCAACCCACGUUCUGUGUUACCAGCAUGAAAGAUGGGGACUCACAGGAGACCGCCGGUGUAAGCCGGAGGAAGGUGUGGAUGACGUCAAGUCAGCAUGGCAGUUACGUCUGGGGCUACACACAUGCUACAAUGGACGAAACAAAGGGCCGCAAAGCCGCGAGGUGGAGCCAAUCCCAAAAAUACGUCCUCAGUUCAGGUUACAGUCUGCAACUCGACUGUAUGAAGGCGGAAUCGCUAGUAAACGCAGGUCAGCUAUACUGCGUUGAAUACGUUCCCGGGUCUUGUACACACCGCCCGUCAAGUCACCUGAAUUGUCUUCACCCGAAGCCCGUGGCCUAACCGUAAGGAAGGAGCGGUCGAAGGUGAGGGGGGUAAGGGGGACUAAGUCGUAACAAGGUA